AUUGAACGCUGGCGGCAGGCCUAACACAUGCAAGUCGAACGGCAGCACAGAAGAGCUUGCUCUUUGGGUGGCGAGUGGCGGACGGGUGAGUAAUGUCUGGGAAACUGCCCGAUGGAGGGGGAUAACUACUGGAAACGGUAGCUAAUACCGCAUAACGUCGCAAGACCAAAGUGGGGGACCUUCGGGCCCCACACCAUCGGAUGUGCCCAGAUGGGAUUAGCUAGUAGGUGGGGUAAUGGCUCACCUAGGCGACGAUCCCUAGCUGGUCUGAGAGGAUGACCAGCCACAAUGGAAGUGAGAGACGGUCCAGACUCCUACGGGAGGCAGCAGUGGGGAAUAUUGCACAAUGGGCGGAAGCCUGAUGCAGCCAUGCCGCGUGUAUGAAGAAGGCCUUCGGGUUGUAAAGUACUUUCAGCGGGGAGGAAGGCGGUGAGGUUAAUAACCUCGCCGAUUGACGUUACCCGCAGAAGAAGCACCGGCUAACUCCGUGCCAGCAGCCGCCGUAACAC
rnacentral:rRNA from 1 species